rnacentral:misc_RNA from 1 species
CCCUGUUCAAAUUACAUAACUUUAUUGUAAUAAGUACCAAGAGGAAAACAAGUGUCUUCGCCUCCUGUCCUGCAAAGGAAAUAAGCAUACUUUGAAGCAUAAUAAUGGCUGUUGGGGGCAGCUUCCAUUNNNNNNNNNNCUCUUCUGCAUUCCACAAAUCCUUCCUUACUAGCCACAAGAAAUCUGCAUAACAACUAAACGUCUCCGGGUCCGGUGGUCCUGACAUUAUCGCACGCUUGAAGCACUCCUCGGCCCUGUCGUAGUCAUGGCGAACUAGGUAGAGGAACUGAGCAUAAUUAGAGAGAAGAAGAGGGUUAUUUGGAUCCUCAGCUACACUCAUCUGGUAAACAAGAUCUGUUCUAUGAAACUCCACAUAAUCGUCUGGUUCAAUCUCUACAGAAAUGGGUGACAAAAGGUGCUUCAUUG